GGUAUUGUGAUGGCUGUCGACCUGUUGCUGUUGGAUCCUCAAGCUCCCAAGCUCAGGAAUCUUUGCCUGGUCAAAGGACAACAAGCAACAUGUUUAAUAGGCCAUCUCCUGUUGCAAAUAAUGGAGAAGGUUUAGACCCCACUUUAGAGCCUUCACCUCGUUUUGCAUUCUCUCAAGGAGUUGGAAAUUUGUCAUCUCCCAGAUUUUCCUCUGGGGAUGUUCAGGCGGCUUCUCCAGUAUCUGGAGCAGGGGCGCCAACUCUGUCAGUGAGACGUCAGAUACACCGCUAUACAAAAUCUCCUUUCUAUUAGCAGAAUGAAUAAUAUGGCUGUCAGAGCUGAUGGCAUUUCAGCUGCCAACUUGCAUAGUGAC
rnacentral:misc_RNA from 1 species